UAGCGCAUAUCACUUCGGCAGAUAUCGGACGAUGUCGGUAUUUUCCGGAAUUUUCAUUCAGGAACUUAGUUUUAUUUUAUUUUUUAUAUUUUUGAAUAUCAUUUAAUAAAACCAUUAAUAAAAAGACAAAUACAUAAAGAACUUUUACCAUUAGUUUCUUAUUAUCAAAAAAUUACGGAGUUCUCGUCUACUCUCUUACAACGAGAUCCAAUGGCGGCGCCCAUGAAAAAACAUUGCGAAUGCCGAUUUAAAAAAAAAAACAAUGAUAAACGUUUCACAUUAGAAUUAACAGUCUAUCGAGUGAUCAUAUGGUACGAUGGGCGCCAAAAAAUUAUCAUCUAUUGUGCUAACAAGACCUGUCGGCUCUGAAUAUGCUGUGAAUAGCCCAAAACAUCCGGGUUGACGUCAUUUCGACAUGUACAAUGAUCAGAUGAUAUAGAAAAAGUAGGCAUCGAAAACAACGAUUGUCCACAAAACGCUUGAUUUAGCAAUGGUCUGUGUUGAUGCUAUUUUCUCUGAAAGCAAACUGUCUGUAAUCUGCAGCCAUUCAGCUACUGUUCCAGAAACUUGAAGGCGUAAAAAUUGAGCUGCCAUUACCACAGUACCUCAGAUAUGUAGGAACCAUGACAUUCGGGCAUUUCUGUUCUGUUGGAAAUAAUACUUGAGCUGGAAACAUGACAUGAAAGAAGACCUUAGGAAAUAUAUGCAAGUGGAGAUUGAGACAUUAAAUUUGAAAAAUGAAAAGACUUAUGAAGCAAAUAGCAAGUUCUGAAUGCUUCAAACUAACUGUUAGUAGACUUUGGAUGAUUUACUGCAAAGGUAGUGCAAAAAAGACUCAGAUACAAAUGUAUCAUAACAAUGCUUACAUGCCAAACUUCCAGGGCAUCUAUACAGGAGAAUUCAGUUGAAAGUCCAGGAGAUUUCAGAAUUUACAUUGUACCUAGUUUAAUAGUAUAAUUAAAAAGAUAGUUCUGAAUUCUUUUUGGUAAAUCUGAUUCAUUUUUAAAUCUACAAGGUAUUGUCAUCAUUUUUUGAUCUUUGUCAGCUUUGGUCUUGGUUAACAUUUUUGCUUAUGUUCCUCUUUUCUUCGAAACUAUAAGAAAUAUAGCUUUGAAACUUAGUUCACCUGUUUAUCAUCAUUAGAUAGCCAAGAGUCAUAAUUCCCACUUCUGUCACUUUUUGGCAAAAUUAUGACCCCUUGUGUACCUAGAAAAUUGGAAUUUCUUGGUUAAAUAUUUGGUUAAAUUAAAUGUUUCAUACUUUAAGAGCUAUAGCUUGAAACUUUAAAUGCUUGUUUAUCAUCAUUAGUUGACUAAAUAGGUCAUGAACCAUAACUAUUGCUUGUAUUCUGUCAGAAUAUGGGCUUUUUAAAUUUGUAUUUCUUGGUCAAUUUUUUGUUUAGCUCGACUAUUUGAAGAAUAGGUAGAGCUAUCCUACUCAUCACGGCGUCAGCGUCACACCUUGGUUGAUUUUUUCGUACCAUUUCACAUAUUGACAAAACUUUUUGAGGUAAUGCUUUAAAACUUUCAACACUUGUGUACCAUCACCGUGUCAAGUUUUAGGCAAGAAUACUUAACUCCAUCAAGGAUUUUGGCUGAAUUAUGGUCCCUUUUAACUUACAAAUCUUGAUUAAGUUUUCAUACCAGUUCAUAUAUUGUGCAGACUGUUUGAUAUGUGGCUUUGGAACGUUGAUACCACUUGUUUAUUUUAUCUGUAGGCCUGGCAAGAGUACAUAACUCUGUCAAGUAUUUUGGCUGAUUUAUUGUCUUUUUGGACUUGAAAAUUGGUUCAGUUUUUGUACAAGUCCAUGUUUUGUCAAAACUUAUGACAUGUGGCUUUGAAACUUUGAACACUUGCUUAUCAUAAUUUCCAUCUGUAGGCAAGAGAACAUAACUCUGUCAACUAUUUUGGCUGAAUUAUGGCCUUUUUUGGACUUGGAAAUGGUGAAGUUUUCGUACAAGUCAACAUUGUGUCAAAAUUGUUUGACAUGUGGCUAUGAAACUUUGAGCACUUGCUUAUCAUCAUGAUCUCCAUUUGCAGACAAGAGUACAUAACUCUGUCAACUAUUCUGCCAGAAUUAUGACCCUUUUUGGACUUGAAAAUCAGUUAAAUUUUUCAUACCAGUCUAUAUUUUGCCUAACCUGUUUGUCAAAUGGCUUUGAAACUUUUACCACUAGUUUACCAUCAUAAUAUAUGUAUGUAGGCAAGACUACAUACGGUAACUAGGACAAGGACUUUAGCUCAGUUAUGGCCCUUUUGUGAGAAAGAAAUUUGUUAAGUUUCGCAUGCGAUUCCAUAUUUUGUCUAAACUGUUUGAUAUAUGGCUUUGAAACAUUGAACAGUCUUGCUUACCAUCAUGAUCACAUAUUACCAUAUAUUGCAAGACUUAUCCAAAUCCACAAAAACAGGUACAUUGUUUGUCUAAUUUAUUUUUCAUCUUUUGUCUGCAAAUCUCUGGUAAUAUUUUGACCCCAUACUUCCAUCAAUUCUUCGAAUAGUCAAGUGCGCUGUCAACAGACAGCUCUUGUUUGUGAAUACUAUAAGAUCUAUUUGCUUUAAAACUUUGUACAUUUCUUUACUAUCAGUAAGUGAGUAAGAAGGUCAAGAACCAUUUAUAACACUUUCUAUUGCAUAUUGUUAAACGUCAAUCAAUUACAGGCAAGGGUAGACACCCGCAGGCGUUUCUGUGGUUCAUACCAAUUUUGACAUAUUUUAAUGAAUGUCUGGGGUAAUUUUGACUAAAAGAGGUUGCUUAAGUAUUAUGAUAGCAUGGUUUUUGAUAACUUUAGAUUCUGACAUUUGAAAGCAGUAUGGGUAAAAAAAGAACAUGUCAGUAAUGUAAAUGCUAUAAUCUUUUUACUGAGGUCUGAAAAACAAAAAGGAGAAAUAUACUUACUAAGUUUUGGGCCAAUUUUCUCCAGUUUGGAUUGAUAAGUUUUCAUUGAAAACAGCUGUAAUAGAACUAAGGUCAUUUCAUUUGUAACAUUUAUUGUAAACUACACUACUUUCAAGUCAUAAUUUGUAAUGAAUCACAAAAAUUUGAAGUAACAAAUUUAUAUUCAAUUCCUUUUGAUUUUGCAUUAUUUUUGCUGGUGGGUGGGGUAAGUCUAUUUAUAUAGUGUUUUUUUUUCUCUAAAAUACAGAAUUGUAUGUUGUUUUUCUAAUGGCUUUUACUUGCAAAUAUUUUAUACUAUCAUAUUUAUAAUCUUGAAACAUGUAACUGAUGGAACAUACUGUUUUCAACUUAACAAUAUGUUAUGUUGUUUUAUGUACCUGCAAAUAUUUAGUUAUUCGUAAAGCGAAGUUGACAGCUAAAGUUAUUGCAUUUUAUAUUUAAAAAAGGUAUAUUAAUACUAUGUAUUGCAUCAAACAUCUGAUAAGAUGUUGUUUUGUCUGUUGAAGUAAGCAGUUGUAUUACUUAAAUGUUUAAAUAGAAAAACAGCCAAAAAUAUGCAACAUAUUAGAUUAAUUUUGGUGCUAACUUCAGCUUUAUUAGACAUUUUUGAUAUUGGUUACCUUGAUAUAGUCUGUCUCGUAAAAUUUUAAAAUGCAUGGUGACCUAUACUUUUUAAUAUUUAUUUCAUCUAUAUAUACAGCUAUCUUAAUUUUUGAAAAGUUUCAGGAAAGUAAAGAAUGUAGAAAGGUCUGUAACUCUUCUUCAAAUAAUCUGGAUUCAUAAUGGUUUCAGUGAUUUAUGUAUAGAUUUUACGAGACAAGAUUUAGAUUUUUGUCAUUUAUCUGCAGAUAACUUCGAUUAAAAUUCAAAUGUUUGUAUUAUUUUUCAAUAAUAUAGUGUUUUGUAGGUCAUAUAACUAUUUGGAAUGGAAAUCACUUGAAAUAUUAGCAAAAUAAAAUUUUGAAAUAUAAA